ACAGACUGUGAACGUGAUAUCUACCCAGAAAGCUGUAAGCAGCAGAGCCGGUGAGCAAUACUCGAAGUUUCAGUAACAGUGCCCUUGUAUCCUAGCGACCACCUGUGGAGAGAGAGGAAAACGAGAGUGAAUAAUUGGAGAACAGACUGUGAACGUGAUACCUACCCAGAAAGCUGUAAGCAGCAGAGCCGUGAUCACCUGUGGGGAAUAAGGAGAACGAGGGUGGACGUACGACGGGGAACGUGAAGGCACGCGGGGCGAGACCCCCUGCCGAACUGAGGAAAGGUACACGGACAGUGGGAAAUCCCCUACCAGUCACACCGAAAUUGUCUGCCUCCAGGAAAGAAGAAGGAGGGCGCCACGGUUAGCAGGGUCCAGGCCGGAGCCUGACGUUUCCCUCUUCCCCCCCGGCUUAUGGUGGUUGGCACCCCUGUUGCCUUUGCCCCAGUCUGCCCGUGGCUGUAGUCUCCCUGGAGGGAGGAGAAGAAGCCUAUUAGUUUUAAAUUCCCCUUUCCCCAAUUCCCCAGUUCUUUUAAGUAUUUAAAUUAAAUAAAGCUUGUUUUAAAUUUUA